UACGAAGGGGGGCUAGCGUUGCUCGGAAUUACUGGGCGUAAAGCGCACGUAGGCGGUCUUUUUAAGUCGGGGGGUGAAAUCCUGGAGCUCAACUCCAGAACUGCCUCGAUACUGGAAGACUCGAGUCCGGGAGAGGUGAGUGGAACUGCGAGUGUAGAGGUGAAAUUCGUAGAUAUUCGCAAGAACACCAGUGGCGAAGGCGGCUCACUGGCCCGGUACUGACGCUGAGGUGCGAAAGCGUGGGGAGCAACAGG
rnacentral:rRNA from 1 species